rnacentral:rRNA from 1 species
GUGGUCUAUUUUGUUGGUUCUAGGACGCCGUAAUGAUUACUAGGGACAGUCGGGGGCAUCAGUAUUCAAUUGUCAGAGGUGAAAUUCUUGGAUUUAUUCGAAGACUAACUACUGCGAAAGCAUUUGCCAAGGAUGUUUUCAUUAAUCAGGAACGAAAGUUAGGGGAUCGAAGACGAUCAGAUACCGUCGUAGUCUUAACCAUAAACUAUGCCGAUUAGGGAUCGGACGAUGUUAUUUUUUGACUCGUUCGGCACCUUACGAUAAAUCAAAAUGUUUGGGCUCCUGGGGGAGUAUGGUCGCAAGGCUGAAACUUAAAGAAAUUGGCGGAAGGGCACCACCAGGGGUGGAGCCUGCGGCUUAAUUUGACUCAACACGGGGAAACUCACCAGGUCCAGACACGAUGAGGAUUGACAGAUUGAGAGCUCUUUCUUGAUUUCGUGGGUGGUGGUGCAUGGCCGUUCUUAGUUGGUGGAGUGAUUUGUCAGCUUAAUUGCGAUAACGAACGANACCUUAACCUGCUAAAUAGCCCGUAUUGCUUUGGCAGUACGCCGGCUUCUUAUAGGGACUAUCGGCUCAAGCCGAUGGAAGUUUGAGGCAAUAACAGGUCUGUGAUGCCCUUA